UACGUAGGUGACAAGCGUUGUCCGGAUUUACUGGGCGUAAAGAGCGCGCAGGCGGUCGGAUAAGUCGAAUGUGAAAGCCCCCGGCUCAACUGGGGAGGGUCAUUCGAUACUGUUCGACUCGAAGGCAGGAGAGGGAAGUGGAAUUCCCGGUGUAGUGGUGAAAUGCGUAGAUAUCAAGAGGAACACCUGCGGCGAAGGCGGGUUGCUGGGCUGACACUGACGCUGAAGCGCGAAAGCCAGGGGAGCGAACGGG
rnacentral:rRNA from 1 species